AACGAACGCUGGCGGCGUGCCUAAUACAUGCAAGUAGGACGCAGUUGCGAACGGGUGAGUAACACGUAGGUCACUGCAUAGUAGAGAGGAAUAACUAUUGGAAACGAUAGCUAAUACCGCAUACUAGUAGAUGGACCUGCGUGGUAUUAGCGAGUAGGUAUGGUAAUGGCCUACCAAGGCGACGAUCCAUAGCCGACCUGGGAGGUGGAUCGGCCACGCUGGGACGGAGACCAGGCCCAGACUCCUACGGGAGGCAGCAGGAGGGAAUCGUCGGCAAUGGGGGGAACCCUGACCGAGCACCGCCGCGUGAGUGAAGACGGUUUUCGGAUCGUAAAGCUCUGUUGUUAAGGAAGCGGUACUUAACCAGAAAGGGACGGCUAACUACGUGCCAGCAGCCGCGGUAAUAC
rnacentral:rRNA from 1 species